UUCAGACCGGUUCCAUUGAAGAGAAAAUCCUACAACGUCAAACGCACAAAAAGUCUUUAUCCAGUACCAUCAUUGAUAACAAUGAAAGUGAAGAAAAACAUUUCACUCGUGAUGAUCUAAAAGAUCUAUUCAGUUAUGAGGCCGACAUUUUAUCAGAUACUCACAAUAAAUUAAAAUGUAAACGUUGUGUUAAUAACAUACAAACCCAACCACCACCCGAUGAUACCGACUGUACUUCACAUUUGUCACAGUGGUAUCAUUGCUCCAAUAAUAAAGGUCUACCGGAUAGUACUUUAUCACAAGCCUGGCAAACUAGUAAAUGUAUAUCGUUUGUAUUUCAUCAUCGUUCUCAGGCGGAGGUGAAAAGAAAAUCGAAUUCACAAGAAAGUGAAAAGGAAGGAGAAGGAGUUUCGGGUGUUAAAAUACAUAAUGAAAUACAAAAUAAAACUAAAGAUUUAUCAUCAGAUGAAUUAGAAUCAGAGGAAGACGAUGACAUAGAUGAUAGUAAAGAUAGUGAUUUUGAAUAGAUUUUUUUCUGUAAUUUUAGUUUUAAAUUUGUUUUGAAAUAAAUUAUUUAAAAAAUUUAA